UUGCCUUUGGCACCAAUUGGUUUAUUAAUUUCAAUUCGAUCAAUAUCAUAACUCAAGCUCAACCACGAAGCCUAAAUCAACAUCCAUUUGGUCUAAUCAAAGACAUGGACUUGAUCAACUACAACUAUUGCAAAGAUCAAGAGUAAUCUUGACCCAAUCUAAGAAACAACUUUAAUUAGAUUAGAUCAACUACUCUACCAAGUUUG
rnacentral:lncRNA from 1 species